GGAUUCCUUCAUUCUUGUUGUUGAUUGAGGGUUAGAGGAAUCCUUGGUACACAGAAUCGAAUCGGGCGACACCUUAUGGAGACAAUUGGUUGAGAGGUAUCGGGUUGGUGGACAGUAGCUACAUUAGGGCUGUGGGGUGCUGUUCUGUUCUUGCUGUGGUGUUUCCUUGCCGGCAGCCCUCAAACCAGCAUCAACAGUAGCUUGAUUGAGGACUCUGAUUAGAGACAGGCGUCUCGACCUUGGAUUGCUUGAUCGUACCUUCUAUUUGAGG